rnacentral:rRNA from 1 species
UACGUAGGGGGCAAGCGUUGUCCGGAUUUAUUGGGCGUAAAGAGCGUGUAGGCGGCCAGGUAGGUCUGCUGUGAAAACUCGAGGCUCAACCUCGAGACGUCGGCGGAAACCAUCUGGCUAGAGUCCGGAAGAGGAGAGUGGAAUUCCUGGUGUAGCGGUGAAAUGCGCAGAUAUCAGGAAGAACACCCGUGGCGAAGGCGGCUCUCUGGGCAUGUCCUGACGCUGAGGAGCGAAAGUGUGGGGAGCGAACAGG